CAAAUGAUGAUGAUAACAGAUUGAACACCUUAGUUUGCACUUCCUCUGGACCGUAAUCAUCUAUUGCUGUGAAAGUGAGCUUCAGGGGAGGAAGCUGUAUCCUUAUAGAUAAAUCCCUGUGAUUGCUCCAGGACCGCUGUUCGCUCCAACCUAAGCUCUCUCAUCUGAGAAUAACUGAAAACAGCUUCACCCCAACAGCAGUGGAAGUGUAGUGCCCUUGGUCUCUGGACAUUUCUCCACUAAAAGGAACCAGAGCUCCAUGAAGAAAUGCCAGGACUGGCAUAGGGAAUGGACCACAUGAGCCUGGAACCUCUUUUUAAAACAUAAAAACUCAGAACGAUCAAGCCUCCGUCACUGGCCUUGGAUUGAAUUCCUCUCCUCCAGAAGCCAAGAAUCCCGGUGUCUUUCACGGCUCAGCAACAACCUUUCAGUGGGAGCCAGCUUUGAUGGGGCUUCCAAGGAUAAAAUCUAGAAACACUUGAUACUUGAAUAAUACUAGUAAUGGAUCAUGAUUCAUUGAAAAAAUAAGUAUCCUUAUGUUCAUAUUGAUAUAAGC
ensembl:lncRNA